GACGAAUCAUCUGGAAAGAUGAAUCAAAGAAGGUAAUAAUCCUGUAGUCGAAAAUGUUGUCUCUCUUGAGUGGAUCCUGAGUACGACGGAGCACGUGAAAUUCCGUCGGAAUCUGGGAGGACCAUCUCCUAAGGCUAAAUACUCUCUAGUGACCGAUAGUGAACCAGUACCGUGAGGGAAAGGUGAAAAGCACCCCGGAAGGGGAGUGAAAUAGAACCUGAAACCGUGUGCUUACAAGUAGUCAGAGCCCGUUAAUGGGUGAUGGCGUGCCUUUUGUAGAAUGAACCGGCGAGUUACGAUUUGAUGCAAGGUUAAGCAGUAAAUGUGGAGCCGUAGCGAAAGCGAGUCUGAAUAGGGCGUUUAGUAUUUGGUCGUAGACCCGAAACCAGGUGAUCUACCCUUGGUCAGGUUGAAGUUCAGGUAACACUGAAUGGAGGACCGAACCGACUUACGUUGAAAAGUGAGCGGAUGAACUGAGGGUAGCGGAGAAAUUCCAAUCGAACCUGGAGAUAGCUGGUUCUCUCCGAAAUAGCUUUAGGGCUAGCCUCAAGUGAUGAUUAUUGGAGGUAGAGCACUGUUUGGACGAGGGGCCCCUCUCGGGUUACCGAAUUCAGACAAACUCCGAAUGCCAAUUAAUUUAACUUGGGAGUCAGAACAUGGGUGAUAAGGUCCGUGUUCGAAAGGGAAACAGCCCAGACCACCAGCUAAGGUCCCAAAAUAUAUGUUAAGUGGAAAAGGAUGUGGCGUUGCCCAGACAACUAGGAUGUUGGCUUAGAAGCAGCCAUCAUUUAAAGAGUGCGUAAUAGCUCACUAGUCGAGUGACACUGCGCCGA
rnacentral:rRNA from 1 species